AAAAAAGAUUGCCAACUAUUCAUUAAAACCAUCUACGUACUAAGAUAGUGGUAGAAAGAAUACCAAACUGCGUCCGGACUUCAAAUUCAUUUUAACCAUGUUAAUGGUCCCACAUUAUUGGUAUUGGUUGAUAGUGAAUCAUAGUGGAUUUACCAAUGAGUCACGAAAUGCUAUGGUUCUUACAUAUGAUUUGAUUUUUGCUUUUCUUUUUUAUUUUCAAAAGUAAUUCGCAAGAUCGUCACCUUUCUUUCCUAGUUUUUAGUUUGAAAGAAGAAAAAAAAAAAAAGAGAAGAAACCAAAGUGGAUUUACCA